UGUACCUCGUCCAUUGGAAUGAAGCCCUUCAGCUGGACGAGGUACAUGUACCUCGUCCAUCGGAAGGAAACUACCUCGUCCACCAGAAGGAAUGCCUUCCGCUUAGACAAGGUAAUGUACCUCUCCCAUCUCGGAAGGAUUUCCUUCCAAUGGACGGGGUACG
rnacentral:miRNA from 1 species